rnacentral:rRNA from 1 species
UACGUAGGGGGCUAGCGUUGUCCGGAUUUAUUGGGCGUAAAGAGCGUGUAGGCGGCCAGGUAGGUCCGCUGUGAAAACUCGAGGCUCAACCUCGAGACGUCGGUGGAAACCAUCUGGCUAGAGUCCGGAAGAGGAGAGUGGAAUUCCCGGUGUAGCGGUGAAAUGCGUAGAUAUCGAGAGGAACACCUGCGGCGAAGGCGGGUAGCUGGGCCGACACUGACGCUGAGGCGCGAAAGCCAGGGGAGCGAACGGG